AUGGACCCAUAUGUUGUACAGUUUGGGUUUGAAGGGAUUGGGUUAGGGGCAUUGCUCGACACGUGGCGAGGGUGGGAUCUAUAAGGUAAUACUCAAAAACUAGGGGUGUGGUGUGGCGUGCUUAGCUUGGCGUGGCCAGCCAUGUGUAUUUUUUUUUGUUUGGCAACGGCUAGCCCCAACGGCUAGAUCGAACCAGCCAACCAAAGCCAGCCAUGUCACCUAGCCCUUCCGCUCCACGUCAGGCUCAAUCCCCACGCCAAAGGGGCAACACCAUGUCCAACGCUUGCCCGGGAUGAAGCAGCCGGCGUUGAACCCAAACCGCCGCCCCAACCCACACUCCACGGUCUAAAUCACAUACAUAACAUAGCAAUGCUUUUACUGCCAACUUAAGCUUUAACACAGAAUUAAGCAGCGUACAACUAUCAUUGCACAAUGUACAAUCUUACAACUUUGCCAUAAGGCUCCAUAAACAACAAUAUCCAUCUUAGGUGCCAAACCUUUCCAAUGACUUGUUUCUAAGAAAUCCAAUGCCCUUUGUGAGGCUGAUAUGAAGGAAAGAGAAGAAAGAAGGAGAGAUAAGAAGAAAUCCGCCACGUCUUGGAUGGCCACGAGUGGAGCCGAAUAGAAGGGGAGGAGAGACGGAGGAGAUGCAUCCAUGCGUGUUCGUGAGGCAAACUCUGACUUAUGUGGCAUAGCUUCGCCCGUAUGAUGCAUCCACUGGAGACGCUCUAAGUGUUCGGAUUGUAAGUUUUUUUUAUACAAGCACUAGGUUAGAAUUACGUGUAUUACACGGGUUGAAUAAAUAUAUAAUUAUAUAUACUAAAUAAUAAAAAAGUUAUAUCUUUAUAAAAAUCCUUGUAUUGCACUGCAUGGGUUGAAUAAACCCAUGAAUAAAUAUAAUGUAAUGAGUUAACACAAAUUGUCUUUAAGAUCUGUUUUAAAAAAAUAAACUUUGAUGUAUUAUUUCUUAUUAAAAUAUGAGAUGAUGAAGACGUAUUGGGAUCUUAUUUUAAUCACAAAAUCAAUAAUACAAUCUUAAAAUGUGAAAGGAUUAAGAUCUAUUGGAAUCCUAUUUAGUUACAUAUUGAAAAAAUUAUGUUUGAGACUAAAAAUGUCUAAUAAAUAAAACUGUAAUGUAAUACAUUGAACGAUUAGGAUAAACAUUAUUUAAAUUAUUUAUAAUGAGAAUGUUAGCUAUUGAAAUAUAUAUAUUUUUUUAAAUCGGUAUCAUGAUGUAGGUCUAAAAAGAAAACCAUCCACUUAAUCAAUCACAACCACUAAAAAGUUCAGAUGAUCUACAUUAGAGGCAACCUUAUUUUUAGGAUCCCAAGCUGCAGGCAGGGAAACAAAUAACAAAAGAGCCAACACUAAUAUUGUUUUCAUUAAAAGUGAUGUGUCAAUAUAUGAACCUUAAUCAGAAGUGCACAGAGCAAUUUGCGUUUGCUUCUCAUCAAUACAAAAUUUAUAAAAGGUGCUACAUUAUUUAAAGUUUGUGUGCAAAGAGAUUAUGGAAAAUAAAUAAAUUGAUAAAGCACAAAAUGUCACACCCCGGAUUUUCGACACCCUGGGCGUGUGACCAAUUGGUUGGUACCUGUUUUGAGUAGAUUGCAGCGGAAAAACGUUUUAUUUAAUUUUAUAGAAAACAGGUAAAUUGAUUAAAACAUACUUUUAUAAACGGGAUUUAAAUAUCCCUUAUUUGGACAAAACGUUUCUUUACAAAAGGUAAUCUUUUACACCAUUUUCAGUCUUCUACCAUUUUUACAAAAUUCUCGCCACAAGGUUUAUCAUGCCUAAGGAGUCAUGAUCCCUUUAGCAUCUACCCUUGCUAAAUACAUUCAUUCCUGAUUACCUGAAAAUGUUUUGAAAAUAAUACGUCAGCUUCGCUGGUGAAUAACAUUUAACAGACCGUAGUUUCAUGUAAGGCAUAAGAAAUAUUAAAGUUAUUUGCACAUAUACUAGUAAGCUACGCAUUCAGCAAGUAUCCUUACUCGUGUGUAUUACCGUGAAUAAAUACCCAGUUUUACGUACAAUUUACCUACCGUGAUUACAUACUCGGUUUUACGGUUUCGCAACAUGUACCAGUUUGAUCAAAUUUGAAACACACUCGCGUGUUCCAAAUGCUUCAGUAAACUUACUAUACAUGCUAAACAUUUUUUCCAUGCCAUAUUGAAAUUUGUAAAAAUUUUCAAAAUUUGUAAAAGAGUUAAUUGUAUUCACCUUUGAUAAAUCGUGCUUAGAGAAAGCUUAGAACUUCUACACCCCGUGGAUGGUCGACAUCAUCAGGGGCGGAACCAAAGUAAUCUUAGCCGUAGCACGGGCUACGGCUCAAGUCCAUAUUCCUAGUGUAUUUUUUUUAUUUUUUAUUUAUUUUAUACAAAGGAUACCCCUAAAUUAAUACAAGGAUACCCCUAAGACCACACGAUGUGGGCGAUCAAAAAUGGCGUUGUCGCUGCUCAACGUCGUUCACUCCGUCCCGUCCACGGUGUUAUUGAUUAGGCCGGGGAAUCUCCACCGGUGUAGAAGAGUUUUUUGCAUCGACGUGGCACGUGGUUAAUGGACGUGGACGUUAGUCGUUUAACCCCAACAGUUAACUUUUAUAAUUAAAAAAAAAACUUACCUUUUUUAAAAGUUCUAAUUUUACACUAUAAAUACAACCCACUUCUUCAUUUUUAAAUUACAAACUCCACCACUUCACCUAAAUUUAUACAAAUUCUCAACGCCGUUCCACUUCACCCAAAAAAAAACCGAGGAUGACAAUCGUUGCGUGGACCGAAGAAGAUUGCACUUUGCGAGUCGUGGGUCGAAGCUUUGAGGCACCACACGCCGGAUAGGUGCUCGAGUGGUCUUUUUUGGAGGACAACCCAACAACACUUUCAAGCCUAUACGGGUGAGAACAACCGAACUGUCGACUCCCUCUCAUAUCGUUUUAGGACAAUCUGUCUCGAUUGCGAAAGAUUCGAGAUGAUCCACACCACCGUGGAGCUCGAGGGUGGUGAUCUCGGGGAGGACGACAUCAUUCAAGUGGCUCUCAUCAGCUUUAGGCACGUGCACCACCGUGAAUUCAAGCUCCGCUCGGCGUGGGAAUUCAUUAGAUUUUUUAUUUAAACUAGGAUUGCGACCCGCCGCAAUGCGGCGGGGAUUCUUUAAUUAUAACUAAGUGGAUCUAGGACCCGCAUGUUAUGUUAAACCUGUCAAACGUGGAAAAAUAGACGAUGUAAAAAUGUUCACCCACACACGCACGUUGCGUCGUGUUAACUCGCAAAAUUUAGAAUGAAACGUAAAAAUGU
rnacentral:lncRNA from 1 species